rnacentral:misc_RNA from 1 species
GAGUUAGGGUCUACCCGGCCCAACCUCCAACCCUGUGUCUAUAUUACCAUGUUGCUUUGGCGGGCCCGCCUCUAGGGGCCGCCGGGGGCUUUACCGCCCCUGGCCAGUGCUCGCCAGUGGCCUAACUAAAUUCUUGUUAACUGUGUCGUCUGAGUAUAUAUUUAAAUCGUUAAAACUUUCAACAACGGAUCUCUUGGUUCU